rnacentral:rRNA from 1 species
AUUGAACGCUGGCGGCAGGCCUAACACAUGCAAGUCGAGCGGAUGAAGGGAGCUUGCUCCUGGAUUCAGCGGCGGACGGGUGAGUAAUGCCUAGGAAUCUGCCUGGUAGUGGGGAUAACGUCCGGAAACGGGCGCUAAUACCGCAUACGUCCUGAGGGAGAAAGUGGGGGAUCUUCGGACCUCACGCUAUCAGAUGAGCCUAGGUCGGAUUAGCUAGUUGGUGGGGUAAAGGCCUACCAAGGCGACGAUCCGUAACUGGUCUGAGAGGAUGAUCAGUCACACUGGAACUGAGACACGGUCCAGACUCCUACGGGAGGCAGCAGUGGGGAAUAUUGGACAAUGGGCGAAAGCCUGAUCCAGCCAUGCCGCGUGUGUGAAGAAGGUCUUUGGAUUGUAAAGCACUUUAAGUUGGGAGGAAGGGCAGUAAGUUAAUACCUUGCUGUUUUGACGUUACCAACAGAAUAAGCACCGGCUAACUUCGUG